rnacentral:rRNA from 1 species
GAUGAACGCUGGCGGCGUGCCUAAUACAUGCAAGUCGAGCGAACGGACGAGAAGCUUGCUUCUCUGAUGUUAGCGGCGGACGGGUGAGUAACACGUGGAUAACCUACCUAUAAUACUGGGAUAACUUCGGGAAACCGGAGCUAAUACCGGAUAAUAUUUUGAACCGCAUGGUUCAAAAGUAAAAGACGGUCUUGCUGUCACUUAUAGAUGGAUCCGCGUUGCAUUAGCUAGUUGGUAAGGUAACGGCUUACCAAGGCAACGAUGCAUAGCCGACCUGAGAGGGUGAUCAGCCACACUGGAACUGAGACACGGUCCAGACUCCUACGGGAGGCAGCAGUAGGGAAUCUUCCGCAAUGGGCGAAAGCCUGACGGAGCAACGCCGCGUGAGUGAUGAAGGUCUUCGGAUCGUAAAACUCUGUUAUUAGGGAAGAACAUAUGUGUAAGUAACUGUGCACAUCUUGACGGUACCUAAUCAGAAAGCCACGGCUAACUACGUG